rnacentral:lncRNA from 1 species
AGGCCCAAUUAGACUAAUUUAAAUCUAACUAAAUUAGGCUUAAUUAGGCUUAAUAAAAUCCUAAUCAAAUCAGGAAUUGAUUAAGCCCAACCUCUGAUCAAAUCAGGGACCAAACCAUCCGACGAUUAGGUAAACUCUUAACCUAAUCGGGUCAAACCCAACUGAAUCCAAUUCAAUUGGACUUGAUCUAAAAAUAAUUACUCAAUCAAAUUGAGUUAAUUAGUGAUCAAAUCACUAAUUAAACUUCUUAUAAAAAUUGAGUCCAAAUCCGAUGGGUAAUCGGGUAUCAGAAUUCAUCGAUAUGUAACCC